UUGAUUAUUCGGGCGGCAGGACCCAGGAAGCCGGUGUGAAUCCGGCACGGUCCCGCCACUGUGACCGGCCCCGUGGACACCCCGCGGCGCCGGAAGCCAGGAACUGACCUGCCGCCUUCUCCCGAC
rnacentral:ncRNA from 2 species